rnacentral:lncRNA from 1 species
UUUGGAGGAAAUAAAAUUAUAGGGUGCACAUCAGAGACGGACCGAGGAGAUUGGUAGGUGUAACAAUCCAGCAAGAUUUAGAGGCAGUUACAUCCAGACUGAGGGAUGAUCUGAGCAUUGAUGAAGAGAUCACCGGUGAUCUGGUCGACGGUGACACAACCAUCUGCGAGGAAACAGUCCGUAGGCCCAUCCGGUCCAAACAGAUCGAAGAAUCAGGAUAAUAAUUAUAUUUACUUUUUAAGUAAUUUUCAUUUAAUUAGCUAUAAGUGGUAGAAAUUAGUGGGGUUAUCCAAUGUUGGUGUUAUCCGAAUUGAGUAAAUAAUUGCUUUAAAUAUAAUGGAAACCCAAUGUUGGGAUUAUCCAACUUUACAG